GCUACUGCUCCUCCAUGUAAAUCUGCUGCUAGAUGAAGACCAUGUAAAUCUAAACAUUCUAAAUCCGCUGCACUACUAGGGUUGCUCUGUGUUGUGCCCUUCUGUUGGGUGAAUCUAUUCUUAUCUACUAGCUUUGACAUAGGCUGCUACAUCAUUUGGAGCUUGGAAUCGAUUUCAUCAUCAGGUUAAAAAACGAGUUUUUGAUGGCUCAGUUCAACAUAUUCACUUGCACUGGAAAUACAGGGGACUAGUGAUUUGUGGAAUUUGAGCUACAGAGAAUUGAGCCCCCACAUGCCGCUGCCCCAUCCGC